GGGUGCGUAACACGUGAGCAACUUGCCCGUGACAGGGGGAUAAGCGAUGGAAACGUCGUCUAACAUCCCGUAACACGAGGGGAGGCAUCUCCCUUCGUUGAAAACUCCGGUGGUCACGGAUGGGCUCGCGGGACAUUAGCUAGUUGGCGGGGCAACGGCCCACCAAGGCGACGAUGUCUAGGGGUUCUGAGAGGAAGAUCCCCCACACUGGAACUGAGACACGGUCCAGACUCCUACGGGAGGCAGCAGUGAGGAAUAUUGGACAAUGGAGGCAACUCUGAUCCAGCCAUGCCGCGUGAAGGACGAAGGCCCUAUGGGUCGUAAACUUCUUUUGUCAGGGAGCAAUAAGGGCCACGCGUGGUCCGACAAGAGUACCUGGCGAAUAAGCAUCGGCUAACUCCGUGCCAGCAGCCGCGGUAAUACGGAGGAUGCGAGCGUUAUCCGGAUUUAUUGGGUUUAAAGGGUGCGUAGGCGGACGAUUAAGUCAGCUGUGAAAUGCCCGCGCUUAACGCGGGAAGUGCAGUUGAUACUGGUUGUCUGGAGUGCCGUUGCCGUGGGGGGAAUGUGUAGUGUAGCGGUGAAAUGCAUAGAUAUUACACAGAACGCCGAUUGUGAAGACA
rnacentral:rRNA from 1 species